GGCUUAUUGAUUUAGAUUUUAGGUCUAGCCUGCCCCCUGAUAUAUUUUAAUGGCCGCAGUAUUUUGACUGUGCUAAGGUAGCAUAAUAAUUAGUUUUUUAAUUGAAAGCUAGAAUGAAUGGUAUUAUGAGAAAAUUUCUGUCUCUUUUAAAAAGUUAAAAUUUUAUUUUUAAGUUAAAAAGCUUAAAUGUUGUUAAAAGACGAGAAGACCCUAUAGAAUUUUAUUUAAAUUUAAUUUUAAUAAUAAAGUAUUUAAAAUUUAAAAGUAGAUUUAUAUUUAGUUGGGGUGACUAAAAAAAUUAAGUAUCUUUUUUUUAUAAAAACAUUGAUUUAUGAUUAUAUGAUUCAUAUUAGUGAUUUAAGAAUAAAUUACCUUAGGGAUAACAGCGUAAUUUUUUUUUAGAGUUCUAAUCAAGAAAAAAGAUUGCGACCUCGAUGUUGGAUUAAAGUUUAUUUUUGGUGUAGUAGCUAAAAUAUUAAGUCUGUUCGACUUUUAAAAUUUUACA
rnacentral:rRNA from 1 species